rnacentral:lncRNA from 1 species
AAAAUGAUUGCGAUACCGCAAGGUGGGACCCAUGAGACCUGGUGCAGCAGUAACACACAGGAGGGAUCCAGGGAAGGGUUCUGAAGAAGAUUCCAGCCUGCCGCACUGUUGUGCUGUGAGUCCAGGGCUUAGUGGAACCCUGUCUUGGCCCACAGCCAUUAGGAUAUUUCUCAGGGAAAGCCCUUGGACCAAGAAGUCUAGAAUUGUCUGUGAAAACAAAAGCAUUUGGAUUCUUUUCAGGAAAAAUGUAACCUGCAAACAAAUAGCCUUGGAAAAUCAGUGCCUCACCCUCGAUGCCUGGGUCAGGCACAGGGAGUGCCCCCACCCCGCCCCACCUGCUGCUUUCUGGCUGGAGGUCACCUCCUUUUCCUCUUCUGUAUAUUGUCCUGGCUGCCCAAAGGGCAAUGCCUCCCCUCCCUGCCUCACCCUUCC